rnacentral:rRNA from 1 species
GUUGGAUAACUGAGGUAAUUCUUGAGCUAAUACACGCUAUUUAUACCACAUUAGUGGUGCGUUUAUUUGAUUAAACCAUUAUAACGGUUGACUCAAAAUAUCCUUGCUGAUUUUGUUACUAAAACAUACCGUAUGUGUAUCUGGUUUAUCAACUUUCGAUGGUAGGGUAUUGGCCUACCAUGGUUGUGACGGAUAACGGAGAAUUAGGGUUCGACUCCGGAGAGGGAGCCUGAGAAACGGCUACCACAUCCAAGGAAGGCAGCAGGCGCGAAAAUUACCCAAUUUUAGUUCAAAGAGGUAGUGACGAAAAAUGACAACCAAAUAUUAUUAUUAAUAUUUGGAUUGAAAAUCUUCAAGUUUAAAUAACUUGUUGGUAAAGGAAAGGGCAAGUCUGGUGCCAGCAGCCGCGGUAAUACCAGCUUUCCAAGUGCAUAAAAUGAUUGUUGUGGUUAAAAAGCUCGUAGUUGGAUUAUAAAGAUUGUAUAAUGAGCAUCUUGGAUGUUUUAAUUUCAUUAUCAUCUUAUUAUUUUUAUUAUAUUCCUUUAAAAGAAUAUAAUAAACUGUUACUUUGAAUAAAUCAGAGGGUUUAAACCAGGCAUUUAUAUGCUUGUAUGGUCUAGCAUGGAAUAACACUAUAGAAAAAGUUAGUGUGGUUUCACUAAUCUUUUUCAUGAUUAAUAGGAACAAACGGGGGCAUUCGUAUCGCUACGUUAGAGGUGAAAUUCUUGGACCGUAGCGAGACGUCCUACUGCGAAAGCAUUUGCCAAGAAUGUUUUCAUUAAUCAAGAACGAAAGUUAGAGGUUCGAAGGCGAUCAGAUACCGCCCUAGUUCUAACCGUAAACUAUGCCUACUAGGUGUAUGAAUUAUUAGUUAUAAUAAUUUAUGCACCUUCUCGGAAACGAAAGUCUUUCGGUUCCGGGGGAAGUAUGGUUGCAAAGCUGAAACUUAAAGGAAUUGACGGAAGGGCACCACCAGGAGUGGAGCCUGCGGCUUAAUUUGACUCAACACGGGAAAACUCACCCGGGCCGGACACUAUAAGGAUUGACAGAUUGAUAGCUCUUUCAUGAUUUAGUGGUUGGUGGUGCAUGGCCGUUCUUAGUUCGUGGAUAUGAUUUGUCUGGUUGAUUCCGAUAACGAGCGAGACUUUUAUGUUAUAUUAAAUAAUAUUAUUUAUAAAUUUUAUAUUUUAUAUAAUAUUUUAUUUUAAUAACAGAUUAAUAGUGUUUAACUAUUUGAGAGAGAGCAAUAACAGGUCUGUGA